rnacentral:rRNA from 1 species
GUGGGGAAUCUUAGACAAUGGGGGAAACCCUGAUCUAGCCAUGCCGCGUGAUCGAUGAAGGCCUUAGGGUUGUAAAGAUCUUUCGCUGGGGAAGAUAAUGACUGUACCCAGUAAAGAAGCCCCGGCUAACUCCGUGCCAGCAGCCGCGGUAAUACGGAGGGGGCUAGCGUUAUUCGGAAUUACUGGGCGUAAAGCGCACGUAGGCGGACCAGAAAGUUGGGGGUGAAAUCCCGGGGCUCAACCUCGGAACUGCCUUCAAAACUCCUGGUCUUGAGUUCGAGAGAGGUGAGUGGAAUUCCGAGUGUAGAGGUGAAAUUCGUAGAUAUUCGGAGGAACACCAGUGGCGAAGGCGGCUCACUGGCUCGAUACUGACGCUGAGGUGCGAAAGCGUGGGGAGCAAACAGGAUUAGAAACCCGAGUAGUCC